rnacentral:rRNA from 1 species
CUGGUUGAUCCUGCCGGAGGCCACUGCUAUCGGAGUCCGACUAAGCCAUGCGAGUCAAGGGGGGCUUUGCCCACCGGCGGACGGCUCAGUAACACGUGGACAACCUGCCCUCAGGAGGGGGAUAAUCCCGGGAAACUGGGACUAAACCCCCAUAGGUCACAGAGGCUGGAAGGCGCUGUGACCGAAAUUCCGAAAGGAGCCUGAGGAUGGGUCUGCGGCCUAUCAGGUUGUAGUGGGGGUAACGGCCCCACUAGCCUACGACGGGUACGGGCCCUGAGAGGGGGAGCCCGGAGAUGGACUCUGAGACACGAGUCCAGGCCCUACGGGGCGCAGCAGGCGCGAAACCUCCGCAAUGCUCGAAAGAGCGACGGGGGGACUCCGAGUGCCUACGCUUUGCGUAGGCUUUUCCCGAGUCUACAAAGCUCGGGGAAUAAGGGCUGGGUAAGACGGGUGCCAUCUGUGAUGGCAGUCAAAGAUUUGGCUUGCCGUUGCAAGGCAUAAGCCGCCGCGGUAAUACCCGCAGCUCGAGUGGUGGCCGCUUUUAUUGGGCCUAAAGCGUCCGUAGCCGGUCUGGUAAAUGCCUGGGUAAAUCGUAGGGCUUAACCCUGCGGUUCCAGGUAGACUGCCAAACUUGGGACCGGAGGAGGGAGAGGGUACUCCAGGGGUAGGGGUGAAAAUGCCCUUUCCGUUAACGCUUUGUGCGAAGCAGAAAGGGUUAUCACAAUCCUGUAAUCCCUGGAGGACCACCGGUGGCGAAGGCGCUCUCCUAGGACGGGUCCGACGGUGAGGGACGAAAGCCAGGGGAGCAAACCGGAUUAGAUACCCGGGUAGUCCUGGCCGUAAACGAUGUGGACUUGGCAUUGGGAUGGCUACGGGCUGUCCCAGUGUCGUAGGGAAGCCGUUAAGUCCACCGCCUGGGGAGUACGGUCGCAAGGCUGAAACUUAAAGGAAUUGGCGGGGGAGCACUGCAACGGGAGGAGCGUGCGGUUUAAUUGGACUCAACGCCGG